GUAAGGAAUAUUGGUCAAUGGGGGCAACCCUGAACCAGCCAUGCCGCGUGAAGGAUGAAGGCGUUAUGCGUUGUAAACUUCUUUUGUAUGGGAAGAAUGACAGGGAUUUAUCCUUGGAGAGACGGUACCAUACGAAUAAGCACCGGCUAACUCCGUGCCAGCAGCCGCGGUAAUACGGAGGGUGCAAGCGUUAUCCGGAAUCACUGGGUUUAAAGGGUACGUAGGCGGUUAAUUAAGUCAGUAGUGAAAGACUGUCGCUCAACGACGGAUGUGCUAUUGAUACUGGUUAACUUGAAUCAGGUUAGAGUUGGCGGAAUGGGUCAUGUAGCGGUGAAAUGCAUAGAUAUGUCAUGGAACACCGAAAGCGAAGGCAGCUAACGAUACUUAUAUUGACGCUCAUGGACGAAAGCGUGGGUAGCGAACAGGAUUAGAUACCCCAGUAGUCC
rnacentral:rRNA from 1 species